GGAGAAGAGGCUCAGCAGAGAAUGAACAAACCUUCAAAUGUUGAAAGAUAUAAACUUGACCUAUUUCCUCCAACUAAUGGCAGGAAAAUCCAAUUUGAUGAACCCGGAGGCAUCUCAUCUAGCCUGCUACCAUUCUUAAGAAUCUCCCAGGCAACAUCUCCCAGCAGGUUCUGAACAGUUUCAAAUUCUUGAUUUACGGGUUCAUUUUUGGAUCAUGGCAGCCUCCCUGCUGCAACCCCCAUAGUUUCCCUUCAAUAAACAAGGCCGGAUGAGAUCACAGCUGAGGAAGCCUGAUGGAGUACAGGUGCCUGAAGAGGCCAGAAGAGGGCAUCGGAUUCCCUGGAAUGAGAGUCACAGGCUAUUGUGAGCAACCUGAUGUGGAUCCCGGGUCACAAACUCAGGUCCUUUGUAAGAGCAGUCUGCACUCUUAGCUGCUGAGCCACCCAUACAGUUUUAUCAUAACUUUGGACACAUCAAAAUUCUCUGUGUUAUUGUGACUGUGUUGAAACUCUUCAAAGCUGUGCCAUCUAAAGAUACCUUGGCUAUCUUUGUUGUUUUCUAUAGCAUUUGCUGCUUUUAGUAGUUUUUUGAAUUUUUUUAAAAAAUAUAUUUGCUUAAUGAUUUUUGGACUUGGAGAUAUUUUAUUCUCAAACCUCUCUCAUCAUUUUAUAAUUUUAUGUCUAAUAGGUGUUCAGUUUUUCUCUUCUGAAGAAUUACCCUUUAACACAUGCUGCCAUGCAGUCAUCCGGGAUUUUCUAUUUCUUAUCUUAUUCUGAGACUUCUCUUUGCCACUCCUUCUUCAUCGUGUUCCUAGAACCAAAGUCCAACUUUUCCUUGAUUUUUCUCUCUCAUUAUGACUUUCCUUUAGUAGAGUCCUAGAGAAAUUAUACAAAAGACAUAAAUGUGAGUAAUUUAAUAUUUCAUGUGUCUGAACAUUUAAAAAGUUUUGUAUCUAAUAAAAAUGGACAGG
rnacentral:lncRNA from 1 species